UACGUAGGGUGCGAGCGUUGUCCGGAAUUACUGGGCGUAAAGAGCUCGUAGGUGGUUUGUCGCGUUGUUCGUGAAAACUCACAGCUCAACUGUGGGCGUGCGGGCGAUACGGGCAGACUGGAGUACUGCAGGGGAGAUCGGAAUUCCUGGUGUAGCGGUGAAAUGCGCAGAUAUCAGGAGGAACACCGGUGGCGAAGGCGGAUCUCUGGACCACAACUGACGCUGAGGCGCGAAAGCUAGGGGAGCAAACAGG
rnacentral:rRNA from 1 species